rnacentral:misc_RNA from 1 species
AUUGAUUUUUUUUAUUUUUGAUUUGAGGUAGGAGAAUGCAAAGUUCUUCAUGCCCAAAUCGACACGUUUUAACGUUGCCUUUUUCUUUCGAGAAGGGGGUAAAUAACCUGUGCGAUAACAUGCUGUUGUUUUGAUUUCUUUGUUUGCCUCUUGGUUUUUUUGAUCAUGAGGUGAAUUUCAAAGAUUCAAAAUUAUAUAAAACAUUUUAUUUUUAUUUUUUAUCCACAUUCUUGAUGAAAGAAUAUA